rnacentral:misc_RNA from 1 species
UAUGAAGAACGUAGCGAAAUGCGAUACGUAAUGUGAAUUGCAGAAUUCAGUGAAUCAUCGAAUCUUUGAACGCACAUUGCGCCCAUUAGUAUUCUAGUGGGCAUGCCUGUUCGAGCGUCAUUAAGUCCACUUAAGCCCUGCUUAGUGUUGGGAGACUGCUCCAGCGGUGCUACCCUGUAGCUACCCUGCAGCUCCUCAAAGACAGCGGCGGAGUUGUGGUAUCCUCUGAGCUUAGUAACUUGUUCUAGCUUUCGAGUACACCACUUCCCCUGCCGUAAAACCCUUAAUUUUUAAUGGUUGACCUCGGAUCAGGUAGGAAUACCCGCUGAACUUAAGCAUAUCAAUAAGCGGAGGA